AGGCUGGAGCUAUCUCAAAGAUUUCUCAGUCACACGUCUGACAGCUGAUGCUGGCUGUUGGUUAGAGCCUUAGUGAGGACUGUGGUGUCUCCCAGUCACCUGGGCUCCCUCACAGCAUGGCAGCUGGGGUCAAUAGCAAGCAACCCAAGAGAACCAGACUGAAGUUGUCUCACCUUUUACGACCUAGCCUCAGAAGUCACAGAGAAUCUUUGUGCUGUAGGCACAUGCCACAUUCAAGGGAAGAGAACAUAAGUCCCACCUCUCUAUGAAAGGAGCAGCAACAUCUCAACACGAGCCCAUGGGAUGGGAAGCUGUGGCCAUCUUGAAAAUACAACCUGCUCCACCAUCUUUCCCCUGAGCUGGCCUCGUCCCUGACUGCUCUGCAGUCAGCGGUCCACAGUCUGCAACCCCUGGGUCCUCACUGCAAGCUCCCCUUGCCUGGGCCUCCUGGGCCGCAUCCAUGCCUCUUGAAAUAAGGGGAUUGUUUUGCUGCUUCUCACACCAAAUUGGAGAACACAGAGACCUCAUGAAGCCACCUUAGAAUGCUUUCUCCUUUCUUCCCCUUUCUCUCCUUCAGACAGGAAACAGAGGCCAGGGCCUGUAGGUGAAGGUGGACCACACCGGGUGUUCUCAGUGGCUUCCCGGGGCAGCUGCCUCAAUUAGAGGAUUUGCCAGUAUGUAGCAGAGUGUGCAAUAAAUCUUAUUGUUUCAUUA